GACGAACGCUGGCGGCGUGCUUAACACAUGCAAGUCGAACGGAAAGGCCCUGCUUUUGUGGGGUGCUCGAGUGGCGAACGGGUGAGUAACACGUGAGUAACCUGCCCUUGACUUUGGGAUAACUUCAGGAAACUGGGGCUAAUACCGGAUAGGAGCUCCUGCUGCAUGGUGGGGGUUGGAAAGUUUCGGCGGUUGGGGAUGGAUGCGCGGCUUAUCAGCUUGUUGGUGGGGUAGUGGCUUACCAAGGCUUUGACGGGUAGCCGGCCUGAGAGGGUGACCGGCCACAUUGGGACUGAGAUACGGCCCAGACUCCUACGGGAGGCAGCAGGGGGGAAUAUUGCACAAUGGGCGGAAGCCUGAUGCAGCAACGCCGCGUGCGGGAUGACGGCCUUCGGGUUGUAAACCGCUUUCGCCUGUGACGAAGCGUGAGUGACGGUAAUGGGUAAAGAAGCACCGGCUAACUACGUG
rnacentral:rRNA from 1 species